rnacentral:rRNA from 2 species
UGAUGGAGCACGCCGCGUGAGUGAAGAAGGCUUUCGGGUCGUAAAACUCUGUUGUUGGAGAAGAAUGGUCGGCAGAGUAACUGUUGUCGGCGUGACGGUAUCCAACCAGAAAGCCACGGCUAACUACGUGCCAGCAGCCGCGGUAAUACGUAGGUGGCAAGCGUUAUCCGGAUUUAUUGGGCGUAAAGCGAGCGCAGGCGGUUUUUUAAGUCUGAUGUGAAAGCCCUCGGCUUAACCGAGGAAGCGCAUCGGAAACUGGGAAACUUGAGUGCAGAAGAGGACAGUGGAACUCCAUGUGUAGCGGUGAAAUGCGUAGAUAUAUGGAAGAACACCAGUGGCGAAGGCGGCUGUCUGGUCUGUAACUGACGCUGAGGCUCGAAAGCAUGGGUAGCGAACAGGAUUAGAUACCCUGGUAGUCCAUGCCGUAAACGAUGAAUGCUAGGUGUUGGAGGGUUUCCGCCCUUCAGUGCCGCAGCUAACGCAUUAAGCAUUCCGCCUGGGGAGUACGACCGCAAGGUUGAAACUCAAAGGAAUUGACGGGGGCCCGCACAAGCGGUGGAGCAUGUGGUUUAAUUCGAAGCAACGCGAAGAACCUUACCAGGUCUUGACAUCUUUUGAUCACCUGAGAGAUCAGGUUUCCCCUUCGGGGGCAAAAUGACAGGUGGUGCAUGGUUGUCGUCAGCUCGUGUCGUGAGAUGUUGGGUUAAGUCCCGCAACGAGCGCAACCCUUAUGACUAGUUGCCAGCAUUUAGUUGGGCACUCUAGUAAGACUGCCGGUGACAAACCGGAGGAAGGUGGGGAUGACGUCAAAUCAUCAUGCCCCUUAUGACCUGGGCUACACACGUGCUACAAUGGAUGGUACAACGAGUUGCGAGACCGCGAGGUCAAGCUAAUCUCUUAAAGCCAUUCUCAGUUCGGACUGUAGGCUGCAACUCGC